rnacentral:lncRNA from 1 species
UCUUAGACAGUCACUUUUAAUUAAAUUUCAGGCUAUAUGGGGAAUAAAUUGUACAUAAGCAAUGCUUGUUCUAAAAGUGAUCAAAUUAUCUACACAUAGUCAAGGCAUGUCAGUCUGUGGAAACGAAAUCAAACAGAAAUGACGUAAUCUACAAGUGACAGGUGUGGCUUCUUUUCCAGUUGUUUUCCUGGUAUUGUGUGGACCAUUC